CCCUAGCCUGCGGCUGCGGGCCCCUCUCUCCUCUCGCUACGCCGGCGAUCUUCAGAACUCCCCUCCCCCUCGCCCAGACUCCGACCAACUCUCCACUCCCUCCCCAGCCCCAAGCAGUCAGGCCUCCCGUCUCCACCCAUCAAUCAACGCCGCGCCAUCCCGUCCGGCAACGCCUCUGCCGCCGCCGUCGCGCCACCCUGAAACCCCAAACCUCGGUGAUACCACGGCCACGUUACCAGGGGCCACCACCACUGCCCUGCCCCGAAAUACCUCGGGUGCCAGUGUCGCCACUAGGCAUUGCGGCGGUGUCCUGAAACCCCUCCGUCUAGGCGUACAAUUUCUACCGACCACGGGUCACGGUCGUGGUGGGAUUGAACGCCCGGAAGGAGUACGCCGACAGGAGCAGGAAGACCGGCGAGAUCUCCCACCGCAACUUGUCCUGUUUCUCGCAAGGCCUUCAGGCCUGUGUGAAGCCGGGAAGCCACACCACGGCUGAUGGCGCCGAUGCCGGACUCGGCGACGGGCCGCAGUGCCCACCUCCAUCGCCCGGCUCAACAAAUCUGGCCCCAAGCUUGAGACAAUCACUGAAGGGAAACUCUGCUCCAUGACUGCAGCAACCUAUGUUCAUGUCAUGGGUGAGCUGCCUGGUGUGGCGCACUGCCUCCAUCAUCUUUCAGUCCCCCCUCUUGUGAAGCUUGGUCCAGCCGCCUGUUCGAUCUUCUAGCUCCCAGUCAUCAGGCGAUCUUAUGGAGAAGCCCUCCAUACAGCUGCAGUAAGGAAGCUUGUCCUCUUCGCAGAUUGUGAAAGGCCCACAGAUGCCAUACACAUCACAAUGGUCG